CCAUGGAAAUUAGGACUCCUAGGACCCCUCGGAGUCCUAGGGUUCUCUAUAAGAAGACCCCUUCCCCUUGAGACCGAAGAUCGACCUCCUCCCUCUCUCUUUCUCUCCGUUUUUCUCAAAUCGAAGCCGCGGAUAUCGUUCGGGUUCUCGCCGUGUUUUCUCGCCGGCGAGGUCACCGGAGGUUAAGGUAAGUUUCCCCUCUUCUUCUCCUCUUUCUUCUUCUUCCUCCCCGUGCAAUUGUGCGCGGCUACCGGCG
rnacentral:lncRNA from 1 species